rnacentral:rRNA from 1 species
UACGUAGGGGGCUAGCGUUGUCCGGAAUCAUUGGGCGUAAAGAGCGUGUAGGCGGCCCGGUAAGUCCGCUGUGAAAGUCAAAGGCUCAACCUUUGAAUGUCAGCGGAUACUGCCGGGCUAGAGUCCGGAAGAGGCGAGUGGAACUCCUGGUGUAGCGGUGGAAUGCGCAGAUAUCAGGAAGAACACCAGUGGCGAAGGCAGCUCUCUGGGACGGUACUGACGCUGAGACGCGAAAGCGUGGGGAGCGAACAGG